rnacentral:tRNA from 1 species
GGCGAGAUGAUGUAAUUGGUAGCCAUGCGACUCUUAAACAGUCGUGGUCAGAAGACCGUGUGGGUUCGACUCCCAUUCUCGCUA